UCCCAUGUGGCUCAGUUGGUAAAGCAUGGUGUUUGCAACGCCAGGGUUGUGGGUUCGAUUCCCACGGGGGAC
rnacentral:tRNA from 1 species